CCUGAUCCAGCGACGUUGGCGUGGAGGAUGAAGACGUUCGCGCCGUAAACUCCUUUUAUAGGGAAAGAAGUCCAUUGACGGUACUCGUAUGAAUAAGCGGGGGGCUAAUUCUGUGCCAGCAGCAGCGGUAAUACAGAACCCGCAAGCGUUAUCCGGAUUAUUGGGCGUAAAGUGUUCGUAGGCGGCAUGGAAAGUCUGGUUUUAAAUUCUUCGGGCUCAACCCGGAGGCUGAAUCGGAUACUACCAAGCUUGAAGAUGCUAGGGGCUAUCGGAACGCACGGUGUAGGGGUGAAAUCCGUUGAUAUCGUGCGGAACACCAAAAGCGAAGGCAGAUAGCUGGGGCAAUCUUGACGCUGAGGAACGAAAGCGUGGGGAGCAAAAAGGAUUAGAUACCCUUGUAGUCCACGCCCUAAACAUUGGACACUGGUUGCUUGAAGUGUCGACCCUUCAAGUGGCGAAGCUAACGCGUUAAGUGUCCCGCCUGGGAAGUACGGCCGCAAGGCUA
rnacentral:rRNA from 1 species